GUGGCAUUAGCUCGGUGGCAGAGCCCCCGCUUCUGAUGCGGGGAGACCUGGGUUCGAUUCCCGGCUGCUUCC
rnacentral:tRNA from 1 species